rnacentral:rRNA from 1 species
UACGGGGGGAGCAAGCGUUGUUCGGAUUUACUGGGCGUAAAGGGCGCGUAGGCGGCCACCGCAAGUCGACUGUGAAAUCUCCGGGCUUAACCCGGAAAGGUCAGCCGAUACUGCGGGGCUAGAGUGCAGAAGGGGCAACUGGAAUUCUCGGUGUAGCGGUGAAAUGCGUAGAUAUCGAGAGGAACACCUGCGGCGAAGGCGGGUUGCUGGGCUGACACUGACCCUGAGGCGCGAAAGCUAGGGGAGCGAACGGG